UACGAAGGGGGCUAGCGUUGUUCGGAAUUACUGGGCGUAAAGCGUGCGUAGGUGGUGCGUUAAGUCUGUCGUGAAAGCCCCGGGCUCAACCUGGGAAUGGCGAUGGAUACUGGCUCGCUAGAGUGCGGUAGAGGAGAGUGGAAUUCCCGGUGUAGCAGUGAAAUGCGUAGAGAUCGGGAGGAACAUCAGUUGCGAAGGCGGCUCUCUGGACCAGCACUGACACUGAGGCACGAAAGCGUGGGGAGCAAACAGG
rnacentral:rRNA from 1 species